AAUCAACGCUGGCGGCGUGCCUCAGACAUGCAAGUCGAACGAUUAAAGCUCUCUUCGGAGAGUGUAUAGAGUGGCGCACGGGUGAGUAACACGUAAGUAAUCUACCCUCGAGUGGGGAAUAACAACCGGAAACGGUUGCUAAUACCGCAUAAUGCAGCGGCACCGCAAGGUGAUAGUUGUUAAAGAUUUAUCGCUUGAGGAGGAGCUUGCGGCAGAUUAGCUAGUUGGUAGGGUAACGGCUUACCAAGGCUACGAUCCUGUAACCGGUCUAAGAGGACGGUCGGUCACACUGACACUGAAUAACGGGUCAGACUCCUACGGGAGGCAGCAGUCGGGAAUUUUGGGCAAUGGGCGAAAGCCUGACCCAGCAACGCCGCGUGAAGGAUGAAGUAUUUCGGUAUGUAAACUU
rnacentral:rRNA from 1 species